UUAAUUUACUAGGGUCGUAGGUGUGUAUGACUGUAGACUUACGUAUGUUACAUUUACUAGGGUCGUAGGUGUGUAUGACUGUAGACUUAUGUAUGUUUAAUUUACUAGGGUCGUAGGUGUGUAUGACUGUAGACUUACGUAUGUUUAAUUUACUAGGGUCGUAGGUGUGUAUGACUGUAGACUUACGUAUGUUUAAUUUACUAGGGUCGUAGGUGUGUAUGACUGUAGACUUACGUAUGUUUAAUUUACUAGGGUCGUAGGUGUGUAUGACUGUAGACUUACGUAUGUUUAAUUUACUAGGGUCGUAGGUGUGUAUGACUUUAGACUUACGUAUGUUUAAUUUACUAGGGUCGUUUGUGUGUAUGACUGUAGACUUACGUAUGUUUAAUUUACUAGGGUCGUAGGUGUGUAUGACUGUAGACUUACGUAUGUUUAAUUUACUAGGGUCGUAGGUGUGUAUGACUGUAGACUUACGUAUGUUUAAUUUACUAGGGUCGUAGGUGUGUAUGACUGUAGACUUACGUAUGUUUAAUUUACUAGGGUCGUAGGUGUGUAUGACUGUAGACUUACGUAUGUUUAAUUUACUAGGGUCGUAGGUGUGUAUGACUGUAGACUUACGUAUGUUUAAUUUACUAGGGUCGUAGGUGUGUAUGACUGUAGACUUACGUAUGUUUAAUUUACUAGGGUCGUAGGUGUGUAUGACUGUAGACUUACGUAUGUUUAAUUUACUAGGGUCGUAGGUGUGUAUGACUGUAG